AAUAGUCUGAAAGAAAGGAUAAUUCUAAUAUAAAUAAGAAAGUGGUACAAGUUAACUGUAAUACAUCAUUUGUAAUAAAUAAAUUAAUAAAUAAACAAUAACUAGGUUGUCACAAAAGUUUUUGGUAAUUAAGAGAUCAAAAUUUCAGUAAUAUAACCGACUAUUUUUUACCAUCCGGAAUCCAAUCGUUUCAUUUUGAUCACCGGAUGUUUGAUUAUGAACAGUCUGAUGUUUCUGAGGAGGAUCAUCUAAUUCUACCACGCAGUAGGGUUCUGAACAGCCCAGCUGGCCACCUAAAUCAUUCGCUUUCACGACUUUUACAAGCAAACGUUUAUCUCCAGCAACAUAAUGUUGAUGUCCACCAGGUGACCCUGUUGAAUUGCAACAAAAUAGAGUCUAAAUGACUUGGAUUGAUAAUAAAAAGGAAACAUAUUGAAGUUAUACCAAGACCAAUAUUCUUGCCAGGAUGAAUGUCUAAAGUGAUUAGUGCUGGAGAGUGGAACCACUACUUUGCAUGAGAGCAAUUGAGAACUAUUAUAAAGUAUCUCAGUUGAAUAUUAAUUUUUAACUGAACUCAAGAACUAUGACGGGUGCGCAGAGUUUGAAGAGAAAAAAAGAGGAUGUAGCAAGAUAUUGCCACUUCCUCACGCUUCCUCUUUCUCGUUAUAAGGAUACCAGAACUAGAGAGAUAACAUCUAGUUUGGGACAAAGUCAGAGAGGAUGCCGAGAGGUUGACGAGAAGCACAAGAGACCGGUCGAUGCACUUCCUUCUUCCCGUAUACGCACACUACCAUAUAAGAAGCGCUGCACACCUACGUUAGUAAGAUCCAGAUAACUUUCAAACAAUAAUUGGACGCAAAUUAGUGGAUGGAAACACGAGUAUUAAAUAUAUAUGUAUAUACAACACGUACAUAUAUAAAAUACAACGCCGAGAGACAGAGCGAGAGAUCGAACGAAGGCAGGUGGCACACGGAGUAAUAACUAGGAGGAGUAGAGGACGAGUGCACGAACCCGAGGAUGGGUACUACCAGUUUUUUCGCAGAGCACCCGGUCUGUCAUCGUUUUGUAUUACUCGCCCAUGGGUUUUCGCUCAUCGUCGACCACGAGAGAAGCGAGAAAGGAACUAAGACAAGGGCUGGUACUUUCUCGUAGUAGAUUCUGAGAAAUAUACAUCUCUGUACUAAGAAUGAGACAAAGAACGCCAAGAAAAUAGAAAAGUAUUUUCGCAAUGACUGAGAAGACUUGAAAAAAAUUCUAAAGAUUCAACAUCUUCGUUAUUUUUAUUUUUUACAAUUUAGAGACUGUAAUAAAAAUAAUGUCUGUACAUUUCCAUUUAAAUUAUCAAAAAACAUCAGAUAAAAUGUGAUCUCACCAAUGUGAUGCAGAAGACAUAAAGAUUUUUAGUAAAAAUGUAAAGGAAAUGAAUUUAAAUGAUUUUUAAACUUAGAACGUAUGUUGAAAAUUUUUUUUCUUUAUUUGUCGACAAUACUUUGAUGAAAAGAAUGUACUAACUACGUCCUAUCGUUGUUGUCAACAUUCACUGAAACAAUGCAAGCCAAAAUGAAUGUAAAUCUGUUCUCAAGCUGCACCCUAGGGGAGUUAUUAUUGGUGAAAUGCUUCGAACAGAAGGCAUCAUUGAAAAAUAAAAUAAAUAAAGUGUUGAUGAUUAAA
rnacentral:lncRNA from 1 species